GACGAACGCUGGCGGCGUGCUUAACACAUGCAAGUCGAACGGAAAGGCCCUGCUUUUGUGGGGUGCUCGAGUGGCGAACGGGUGAGUAACACGUGAGUAACCUGCCCUUGACUUUGGGAUAACUUCAGGAAACUGGGGCUAAUACCGGAUAGGAGCUCCUGCUGCAUGGUGGGGGUUGGAAAGUUUCGGCGGUUGGGGAUGGACUCGCGGCUUAUCAGCUUGUUGGUGGGGUAGUGGCUUACCAAGGCUUUGACGGGUAGCCGGCCUGAGAGGGUGACCGGCGACAUUGGGACUGAGAUACGGACCAGACUCCUACGGGAGGCAGCAGUGGGGAAUAUUGCACAAUGGGCGGAAGCCUGAUGCAGCAACGCCGCGUGCGGGAUGACGGCCUUCGGGUUGUAAACCGCUUUCGCAUGUGACGAAGCGUGAGUGACGGUAAUGGGUAAAGAAGCACCGGCUAACUACGUG
rnacentral:rRNA from 1 species